ncrna:Niastella koreensis GR20-10 DTF805b RNA
ACAGGCGAAGCCGAAAACCUGCAUAACAGAGUAGGCA